GAUGUACUCCCUCCGUCCGAAAAUACUUGUCAGACAAAUAGAUAAAAAAUGGAUGUAUCUACAACUAAAAUACGUCUAGAUACAUCCAUUUUUCCGACAAGUAUUUCCGAACGAAGGGAGUAUAAA
rfam:Triticum aestivum genome assembly, contig: Triticum_aestivum_CS42_TGACv1_scaffold_222284_3B